UACAGAGGGUGCAAGCGUUAAUCGGAAUCACUGGGCGUAAAGCGCACGUAGGCGGAUUGUUAAGUCAGGGGUGAAAUCCUGGAGCUCAACUCCAGAACUGCCUUUGAUACUGGGAGUCUUCGAGUCCGGGAGAGGUGAGUGGAACUGCGAGUGUAGAGGUGAAAUUCGUAGAUAUUCGCAAGAACACCAGUGGCGAAGGCGGCUCACUGGCCCGUACUGACGCUGAGGUGCGAAAGCG
rnacentral:rRNA from 1 species